rnacentral:misc_RNA from 1 species
ACUUUUAUUUUUGGGAAUAAUUAUAUGUUCAACCGCUAUUGUCUGAGCCAAGAAUGUGAAUUGAGGAGUUGUAACAUAAUUUUGUGUUAAACCGCUAUUAUACGAGCCAAGCAUGUGAACUGAGGAGUUGUAACAAAAUUUAGUGUGUCUGCGACACUACUAGUUUUGUAUGGAAUAUGUUGUGUAUGCUUGCUGUAUUCUAUAAGCUUGUUUUAUACCAGAAAAGAGAGAGAAUCCAUUUCUG